AAACCGCUUAGGGGUUAAACCCGAUGAACCUGAAUAUCUGAAUUGAUAAAUUCAAUAUUAUGUUGUUUUACUUUUAUGUGAAAUGACUGGUAUGCACUUUUAUCAUAGUAAGACAUUGCGAUCCAUUAGCUUGGUAUUUGAAAUUUAUGAUGCGGCCCGUGUGUAUAGUUUGUUCUAUCAGUAAUGAUUUUCGAAUUAUUAUAUGAAUAAAUGCAUUGCGGUGUCCCGAUAAAUGGCUGAUGGAACUUAAAAAUGAUACAGACAUAUAUUUAUAUAUGUAUUACAUGCAUGAAUUAUUUUAUGCACUUGUAGUUGUAUGUAUUUGAUUGGCAAUGCGAUAGAUUUGGGAUACCUUCGGGACCCGUCUUGAAACACGGACCAAGAAGUCUAACAUGUGUGCAAGUCAUUGGGUAUAUUGUGUGAAACCUAAAGGCGAAAUUAAAAUAACUAUAUUUAAUGGGAUUACAGGUAUAUACUUUAAUGUUGUAUCUCUCCAUCCCAGGGCGUUCUAUAUUCGACAUGGUUUGAUUUAUUAGACCCUCUGUUGAGGAGCGUACCUUGAGCAUACAUGCUGUGACCCGAAAGAUGGUGAACUAUACCUGAUCAGGUUGAAGUCAGGGGAAACCCUGAUGGAGGACCGAAGCAAUUCUGACGUGCAAAUCGAUUGUCAGAAUUGGGUAUAGGGGCGAAAGACCAAUCGAACCAUCUAGUAGCUGGUUCCCUCCGAAGUUUCCCUCAGGAUAGCUGGUGCAAUGAUAAGUCUACAUAUAUAAUGUUAUCUGGUAAAGCGAAUGAUUAGAGGCCUUGGGGCCGAAACGACCUCAACCUAUUCUCAAACUUUAAAUGGGUAAGAACCUCAUCUUUCUUGAUGUGAAGAUAUAGAGGUUUAGAUAUAUUGUGCCCAGUGGGCCACUUUUGGUAAGCAGAACUGGCGCUGUGGGAUGAACCAAACGUUAUGUUACGGCGCCUAAAUGAAUGACUCAUAUUGAUACCAUGAAAGGCGUUGGUUGCUUAAAACAGCAGGACGGUCGACAUGGAAGUCGUAAUCCGCUAAGGAGUGUGUAACAACUCACCUGCCGAAGCAACUAGCCCUUAAAAUGGAUGGCGCUCAAGUCAUAUGCCUAUACAUAACCGCUAGAAUAAUGAAAUUUAUUCACUUGUGGAUAAAUUUAUAAAAUUUUAGUGAGUAGGAGGGUACAAUGGUGUGCUGCGAAGUGUUUGGCGUGAGCCUGCAUGGAGCCGCCAUUGGCACAGAUCUUGGUGGUAGUAGCAAAUAAUCGAAUGAGAUCUUGGAGGACUGAAGUGGAGAAGGGUUUCGUGUGAACAGUGGUUGAUCACGAGUUAGUCGGUCCUAAGCUCUAUGCGAAAGCUGUUUAAUUUAUGUU
rnacentral:rRNA from 1 species